CACGGGUGAGUAACACGUAUCCAACCCGCCGUCUACUCUUGGACAGCCUUCUGAAAGGAAGAUUAAUACAAGAUGGCAUCAUGAGUCCGCAUGUUCACAUGAUUAAAGGUAUUCCGGUAGACGAUGGGGAUGCGUUCCAUUAGAUAGUAGGCGGGGUAACGGCCCACCUAGUCUUCGAUGGAUAGGGGUUCUGAGAGGAAGGUCCCUCACAUUGGAACUGAGACACGGUCCAA
rnacentral:rRNA from 1 species